GUGCCCAGCCGCCGCGGUAAUACCGGCAGCCCGAGUGAUGGCCGAUCUUAUUGGGCCUAAAGCGUCUGUAGCUGGGUCUGAAAGUCCAUCGGGAAAUCCACUCGCUCAACGAGUGGCCGUCCGGUGGAAACUCCACACCUUGGGACCGGAAGGCUCGAAGGGUACGGCCGGGGUAGGAGUGAAAUCCUGUAAUCCCGUCCGGACCACCGAUGGCGAAAGCACUUCGAGAAAACGGAUCCGACAGUGAGGGACGAAAGCUAAGAUCGCGAACCGGAUUAGAUACCCGAGUGUCC
rnacentral:rRNA from 1 species